rnacentral:rRNA from 1 species
UACGAAGGGGGCUAGCGUUGUUCGGAUUUACUGGGCGUAAAGCGCACGUAGGCGGAUCGUUAAGUCGGGGGUGAAAUCCUGGAGCUCAACUCCAGAACUGCCUUCGAUACUGGCGAUCUUGAGUCCGGAAGAGGUGAGUGGAACUCCUAGUGUAGAGGUGGAAUUCGUAGAUAUUAGGAAGAACACCAGUGGCGAAGGGCGGCUCACUGGUCCGGUACUGACGCUGAGGUGCGAAAGCGUGGGGAUCAAACAGGG